rnacentral:rRNA from 1 species
UAGUGUUCAGCAAGCAACAGAGUUGAAAAACGCCAUCCAGCAGCCGCGGUAAUAUCACUAGUGAAUUC